AAUUGAAUUGAAAAAUACAUUAUGCCCUAACUUUGUCUGUUCGGUUAAUCUUGCAGAAACAUAUAUACUCCUCCGUCAUCUUAAUCAAUUUAAUUAUUAAUGUUUAAUCUGCCGUGUUGUUUAUUUUCAAUGUUUUGAAGCCUGCCAAAACGGGUCGGGUAACAGUGUAUACCUGGUUCGGGUCAGUACGGACUGAAUACAAAAGGUUCAAUUCUGUUUCGGGUCAAAAUGGGUUCUCACCAAAUUAAGUUUGCGUCUAACACGUUGACCCGUUUAUGACAUGAUAAAAUUCGUGUCUAAAGAGGUUUAACCCGUCUAACCUGUUUAUGACCCGAUCAAACCCGUUUCACUAUCCAAUUUUAAACCUCUUAAAAUAACUAGAUAUAUUACAUAAAUACACCAUAUCAUAAUCAAAACCCUAGCUUGUCAAUCGUCCAUCCAUCUUUCCCUCUUUCUUCAUCUUCGUCUUCAUACAUCUUAGUCAACCAUAAGCAGAAGCACAAACUACAAAAGAAUUAGAAAAAAAGAAACCCUAAAAGAUGAAGAAAAACAAAAAUUUCCGAAAAAGAAGUAUAGCAGAGGUAGAAGACGACAAUGACAUGCACUAAUGCGCAGGUUAAAAUAUAUUGAGCAAGAGUUGGCGAAGAAAAAAGGGAAGAAUAUUGACGUGACAGAUCAAGUUGAAAACGAUAUAAAACACGCAGAGGAUGAAUUAUACAAAAUUCCAGAGCACCUGAAGAUUUAAGCUGAAAAAUAUAGAGGAAACAGAGGCUGCCAAAAAGCUUCUGCAGGAAAAGAGGCUAAUGGGCCGGGCCAAAACCAAAUCUACCAUACCUUCAAGUUAUAGUGCUGACUAUUUCCAACGUGGCAAGGACUAUGCGGAAAAACUUAGGAGAGGAAUGUCUUGUUGAAAUGUUCACACAUCUGUUAUAUCUUUUUAUAUGGUCUAACGACAUUAAUGGAUGAAUUACAGACCAUCCUGAGCUUUACAAGAACAAAGGUGCAAAUAACAAUGGGGAAUCUAAAGCCAGUGAUCCUGCUGCUGUAGAUGGAGGCGAUGGUGGUGGUGGUGGUGGAAGACAAGCGGCAACAGAUCAGAUCAUGCUUGAGCGGUUCAGAAAGAGAGAACGCCAUCGUGUAACCAGGAGAUGAUAAACAAGUCUUUGAUGGUUUGGUGUUUUCUUUAAACAAGUUGAAGAUGGUGUGUUUGUUGUUGGGGCAACUGACAUCUAAGAAUAUUUAUGAUUUUGGAUUAGGAUCAAAUACAAAGGCUCCUUAAAAUAA